UGAGCCGCGGCCGCCAGGGUGCCGCGGUGUCGUUUAGGCGCAUGCGCAGCCCCCGUUUCUGCGGCCCCCUGGCUUGCGGCUUGCGGCACUGAUUGGCUGCGGUCUUUCGCCUAUAGGGAGCGCGCGCUAGCUCCUGGCGCCUCUCUGGGGAGCGUGGGCGGGGGGACCCCCGGGCCGCCAGUUUCCUUCCCCCGGGAACACCCAAGGGUGCCCGGCCCCGCCCGUCACAAGGAGGCUGAGCGAGAUGCUGUCAAUAUGGUUGCCAGAGGUGAUGGUUUGAGUCUACUUUACAUUCAGUUUCAGGGGAAAGCCCUUGGACUGAGCUGGGCCAUACCACAGGAGGAGGCCGUUUCUGCCUGAGAGUGAAGAAAGACCUUACUACAUCCUGCUGUCUGGAGGUGCCUGUGGUGAGCAGAUGACCCUCAUGCUGCCUUAUCCCAGAUGAUGACCUUAAGACACAUGCAGGGAGGUGAUAGGAAGUGGCCCAGGGAGGGCUGCCUUAAGAAUCCUCAGCUGUCAGAUCACUGAUAGUCCUCAAAGGGGCCUGGGUUGGAACCUGGUGGAGAGGAAGGGCCCUGGUUCCUCUAUUAACAACCCUCUUUCCCCCGCAGUGUGUCACUGGGCAGUGCUCCCCAACCAGCCUUGAGCGAGGGCUGUGUUACAAGGAUAUUGCCCUUCUUGUUAAUGGUUGCUAGAAUGCCAGCCAGUACAAGUGUUGUUCUCCCAUGUAGCCUCACUAUAAGCCUGAUUAGUCCCCCACUUAUGUCUCAACAGAAUUUCAGCACAAAGUCACUUCAGCUGUAGCUGAUGUCCUGUUACAUCUAAAUAGGUCCCAUAUCACAAGAAGGACAAUCUCACUGGAUCUUAAAUACAUUCAGAAACAGCAAGAUAUAAUCUGAGGACUUACUUGCUAAGUGGGCAGAUGGCAGUGUUCAAUUCCAUGUGCAGAGAGUGAGCAUGGGGAGAGGGAGGAAAAAGAAACAGUGAUGAGAACUGCAAACUGAAUAUCAUUUCACAUGUUAACCGGCACUGCACCCACAAUGACACACCCAUAGUCUUCCUCCAUCUUUCCCUUUCCCUUCUGAUAUUCCCCCUUCUUUCUUUAUUGUCUCCCCUUCCUGAAGAUGGCUUGGUAUCUACAAUUGUUCAAGGCCGUAACACUCUCCAGGCUGGAUUUCCCAGUCUCUUUUCUAAUUUACCUGCCGCUCACUUGGAUCUCCUGUCCAUUCUUCAGCCAUUUCACUUCAGCAUCUGGGUUGGCAAGUUCAACCAUUAACUUGAUCUUCUGUCCUUUGUCCACUUGGUAAGCAGGAUCCAGCUUCUGGAGGAAUGCUGAGAUGAAGAACCGUUACAAAAAGGAGAUAUUAAUAAUUUUUCUUUGCCAGGUUUCCUUUCUUUGCAGCCUAAUCUGGAGGAAAGGAAGUCAGGAAAGGAGGUUUUUAUCACCUUUCCUAUUGGUUUAUCUUCUUAAUCCUUGCUCUGUUCUUUCUAUAUCUGCCAUCACCCCCUUCUACCUUUCUUUCCCAAAUGCCUUAUGCGUCACCUUCCAUCCUUUUCUAUGAUUCUGUGGCCUGAUCUAGACUAGGAUGACGUUAGCUAACAUGCUAAUUAGCAUGUUCUAAAUCUAGUAUAGACAAGGCAGUGUGUAAUUUAACCAAUUUAGCACAUGUUGAGUUAAAGCCUAAAUUUCUCACUAGGCUUUCCCUUGAUAAUGUAUUAAAGGCAGUGUGCCUUGUCUACACUAGACUUUUAAAAUAUUAGCUAACAUCUCACUUUUAAAUCCUAGUCUAAACAAGACUCAUUAGAUCACAUAAGCCAUGGUGUCUGGGGUGUAGCUGAGAAGUCCUUGUUUUCUGAGGAAAAUAAAAUUGACCACUCCUUUUUAAAGGAACCAUUGCUGGCUAAAGCACAGAACAGGGUGUUAUCGUAAUACAGGGGGAAAUCUAGCAAAAUGAGGAAGAUAUGUAAUCUCCAAGAGUCAUAGUGAGGUAGUUCAGAAGACCUGGUGAAGGUCUUAUCUUUAGGAAUAGGCAUCUCAAGUAUAAAAGACCAUAGGAAAAGUUGGAAGAACUAGUUAAAUCAUGUCCCUCUCCCCCAUUCACCUGUAUCAACUAAUGUUGAUAUUGGAAACACCCAUGACCAAUAAGAUAAGAACAGAUAUUUUAGGAAGAAAUACAGCUCUCCAACCUGUACUUUUCUUCUCCUCCUUUUUUAUGCGUUUGAGGCGUUUCAGCAUCCCCCGUAGGUCUGUGAUACCGUACUGGAAAGCAAUUUUCUCAUACUCAGAAGGAGGAGCUCUCCGCAGGAUGUCCCAGACAUCAACAUCAGGUUGUGAUUCAGUUUUUGGUUCACUUUUGCCAGGGGGGAGUAGAACAUUAGAAUGACACACUAGAAAGAACUUCAAAAAAAGCCAUAAGCUUGGCAAGCUAUGCAUUGCUUAAGUGAAGCCAUUCCUGCAUUAGAUGUCAGCAGUCUAGCUUUAUUAUUACAGAAAUGCCUAGAGACCCUAAACAAAAUCAGGGCCUAAGUAUGGUAGAUGUUGUACGUAUGCAUAUUAAGAGACAAUUCCUGCCCUGAAGCGCUUAUAGUCUAUCUAGGCAAGACAAAGUAUUAUCCCCAUUUAAAAAAUGGGGAAGUGAGGCACAGAAAUGAGUUUCCUAAGAUCACCCGUGAAAUCAGUGGCAGAGCCAGGAAAUGAGCCCAGAUCUUCUGAGACCCAAGCUCGUGUCUAUAAGAUAGGGACUCACCUCUUAUCUCCCAGGAUUCUCUCUCUUUAUUAAAGUGAGGCCUGGUUCAUCUUUAAAAGUGAAGAUCAGUUUUGUGAUGGGAAGGAUUGUCUAUAAUCGGUUCUUAGAAUUGAAAGACACUUAGAUUGGCAAGUUCUGGCUAGCAAAACACUAUUUACAAUGAGCCACUCAGUUUAUGGAUUACCCAAAGAGCUGGUGAUUAUGGGAGAGAUAACUUGUGGUACAGUAGGACCCAAACGGGAAGCAGGCUGACCAGCUGUGUGAAAAACAUUAUGCUCUUGUCAUAGUAUAUAUUAUUUGAAGAUUGAUUAAAAACUUACCGAUUUACUGAGCGCAAGAAGCUGCUGGACUCGAGAGCGAUGCAGAGAAGCAUUUGGAAAAGCAUGCAGCAUCCCCAUGGGCAGGAAAGAGGGCAACAUGUGUUAAUACAACAGAGCCAUCAUCAUCUCCACCAUUAGCAGAAAAAGCCUGCAUUUCAGCAGCAGGGAGAUGGAUAUAUUGCACUGAAAUAUACUCAAGAAUAAAUGCAUUUUCUGAAAUCAGCCUCAUUCCCAAACUCUGUAGAGUUCCAUCUUGCAGUUUAUAUUGCAGAUGUAAAUACCACAAUUUAUUUGUGCUACUGGGAGAUAGCCUCAUAGGACAAAGUGAGGCUAUUUAGGUCAUUAUCCUCAUUCCAAAAAUGGACUUUCUGCCUGACUUCUUUCAACGUAUUUCUCACAAAAGACAGGGUAUGAUGAAUUCCUCUGAAGGAUGAGGGAGGUAUGACAAGACAUGCAGGCUCCAGAAUCCUGGAGGGAAAAUCCGGAUGUCUUAGAACUCCUUGUAGGUGGAGCUUGUUUCUGAUAUCACCAGGAUCAAGCAGAUUCCAGUGCAGCAGAAUAUACACAUGUAAUAAGGCUGUGUUCAGUAAUGAAUCCCAAACCCCGCACCCCAAUCACACACAAGCUACGUAGCAGGCAGUGAAGGGAAACUUAGAGGACUCUUUAGUUUUGUUUUCAUGUAUUUGAUAUACUGUGAAUGUCUACAGAGAAGGAACAUCUCCCAUUAAUCUCCGUGAGGAAUGUCACUGCAUGAAAGGAGUAUGGAGGGUUAGUGGGGUUAGUCUUGGCAGCAGAUUUAACGAGGUGCUUCUAAUAUUCCAGAGUUUUUCUUAGGAAGGUGUUUGUAACAGGAUUUCCACUAUUAUUAUAGUGCUGCAAUCAAGUAUCAGGGUUUCCAGUAUCUGUGUCCAACUUGCACUUCAGUCAUUCUGAGCUGAAACUUGGCAUGUAAAGUCUUAUACUUAGAGAAUUAUUCUUUAAGGUGGUUUAACAUCCUCUAUUACUGGGAUUGACUGGUUGGAUCUCAGGCCAGUAUUCUGUUACAAAUACAGGCCACAGUGGAGAUGUUUCCUCAUUAGAGCAUAUCUAUAUCCUCCAAAAACUCAGCCAGCUCCCUCCCCACUACAUAUCCCCACUGGUUUUUGCUAGGCAAAAUACUAUUAAAAAUUGUGCCCUACCAACCAAAAAACAGACCAUUUACCAGAUAGUCUAAGAACUUUCAACAUACCAAGCACUCUGGGCUUGCUUGCUCUUGAUAAUGUGAACAAGCAACAUUUAUAAUACUGUCUAAAUACAUGUUUCCUAGUUAUAAAUGUGAGGUCUGCAUUGGAGCAAUUAUGCUCUGUUGAGGAAACAGUGGCUCAAAAAUAAGUAUAGAAUCUUAGAAUGUAAAAAAUCCCUAUUAGGUCAAAUCUAGUGUUUCUCUCUCAGCUAACGUGUAUGCACUGUCCACCUGAAAGUUUAAGGUAGGAUUGUUCAUACUUUGUCUAGGUUAUUUUUAAAUGCAAAUAAGUCUUCCACUUUGGAGAUUGUUCCCCAACCAAAUACAUCUCACUGUCAAGAUGAUUUCUCUAAUAUUCAACUUAAAUUUUCCAUUGCUCAGUUUCAUCCCAUUAUUUCUAGUUAUACUCAGUUGGAGCACCUGAAACAACUCCUCUCCAUUCCUGGUGUUUAUAUCCCUCUAUAAUUAUAGAUAAUUAUUUUAUCCACCUUAGUCAUUGUGUAGCCAAGCUAUAUAUAUUUAUUGUAAUAUUGCCUCAUUCAUGUAAACCAUAUCAUCACCUAUGGACUGUACUUCAUGCCUAUGGGAAGUUGGUAGAGGUGCUUUCUUAAAUUAUAACUCAUUUUAAAAAUCUUUGGGGUAAAAGCUAUUGGCCAGAUUUUCUGCUAGCAUAACUGGUCAAAACUCCCCUUGAAGUCAAUGGUGCUGCACCUAUUUACACGAGCAGAAAAUUUGGCCAGUUGUCUCCCUCUCUGUUUUGUACCUGGUCAUGUAAACUGAUGUUGCAUAAAUAACUGAAACAAAAAUCCCACAGCACUUGUAAGGACUAAUGAGAUCUUGCUGUGGGUCCUGCAAGACUUACCUUUAAGUAGUUGGUAUUGUAUAUACAAUCCAAAUAUUUAACUGAAUAAAAAUCAUGCAGCAAGAAUCCCUAACUGUGUCAAGCCCACCCUAAACCCAUGUUUAUGUGAACAAAAAUGCAAGAGACCUGAAUGUUCCCCAAAGUGCAGUCUCAGCCUUGUUUGUAAAUAUCAAGUGUUUUCUAGCUUUCCAGAGCAUGGACUGGCUUGUAAAUUGCCACUACAUAAUAAAAAUAUUUUACAGCCAAGAAUCACCAUUUAAAUAGUGUAGAAUUGAGCACUUAGAAGCAGGAAAUUCCUGUUCAUGACCCUUCAGAAUUCAUGUCUCUGUCUCCUCCAGUAAGUUCCCGGCUUCAUGUUUCCCCAUUUCUAAUGCUCCCUGUCACCACUUUAACUUUAUUAAAACAUUCUCUUAGUUCCAGUAAGGAUUUGGAGUAUUCACAGAAAUAGACUGACCUCUCCCACCCAGCUGGAGUAACACCCUCCCAGGCUAAGCAUUUCAGGGAGGGGAGUGCUCUUAAUGGGGGGGAUAGCUCAGUGGUUUGAGCAUUGGCCUGUUAAACCCAGGGUUGUGAGUUCAAUCCUUGAGGGGGCCACUUGGGGAUCUGGGGCAAAAUCAGUACUUGGUCCUGCUAGUGAAGGCAGGGGGCUGGACUCAAUGACCUUUCAAGGUCCCUUCCAGUUCUAGGAGAUGGGAUAUCUCCAUUAAUUAUUUAUAUUAUUUAAUUUGGUGACUUUGGGCUCCUUAGGUUUCUCCUUCCCUAAAGUCAUUCUCCCUGAUGUUGAGGGUCUUAGCUGCAGGGAUCACUUCAUAGGUUGACUGGGCACUUGAGGACAUUAAGAUGAAGCUCAGUGAACCUGUUGUAAACAGUACAGGCAGCUGAUAUUUUUUUAAGCGUGUGAGGAUAUUAAAAAUAGUUUUGUAUAUCCCAGAGAUGGUUCCUUCCUAUCCUGUUACCCCGGAUUGCUUGGACCCUGUCAGCUGUCAUCUCUUUCAAGGUCUCUUCACUAUCCUGUUUAAUAGUACUGUGAAAACUGUUCCUUUCCCCUUCCCCAUGACCUCUCUGUGGCCUAUGGCACCUGUGUGUCAACACCAGCUAAUUAAAUUACAGUGGCCAGAAAAUACAACUCCUGCACAAUAUUAAAUGAAGUUUUCUCCACGACAGUGAACAUGUGCACCAUCUGGGCAGAGUAGCACUUGAUGAUGGGUAAGGUGGAACAAAAGUAGAAGGUGAUGGCAGAGGUGUCAUUCCUGCAUUCUGCCUCCAUGCAGCACUUGAGAGUUCAACAUGUUUGUUUCUCCGGUUGUGUUUUCAAAGGAGCACAUAUUCACCCCAUAAAGAGGCUUGGUGCCUUUCAGGAAUCAU